GACGAACGCUGGCGGCGUGCUUAACACAUGCAAGUCGAACGAUGAACCCGGAGCUUGCUCCGGUGGAUUAGUGGCGAACGGGUGAGUAACACGUGAGCAAUCUGCCCUUGACUCUGGGAUAACUGCGGGAAACUGUAGCUAAUACCGGAUCCUUUCACCGGAUGGCAUCUUCUGGUGAUGAAAGAAUUUCGGUCAGGGAUGAGCUCGCGGCCUAUCAGGUUGUUGGUGGGGUAACGGCUCACCAAGGCGACGACGGGUAACCGGCCUGAGAGGGUGACCGGUCACACUGGGACUGAGACACAGCCCAGACUCAUACGGGAGGCAGCAGUGGGAAUAUUGCACAAUGGGCGCAAGACUGAUGCAGCAACGCCGCGUGAGGGAUGACGGCCUUCGGGUUGUAAACCUCUUUUAGUAGGGAAGAAGCGAAAGUGACGGUACCUGCAGAAAAAGCACCGGCUAACUACGUGCCAGCAGCCGCCGUAA
rnacentral:rRNA from 1 species